rnacentral:rRNA from 1 species
UGUCCUACGGGGGGCAGCAGUGGGGAAUAUUGCACAAUGGGGGGAACCCUGAUGCAGCGACGCCGCGUGAGCGAUGAAGUAUUUCGGUAUGUAAAGCUCUAUCAGCAGGGAAGAAAAUGACAGUACCUGACCAAGAAGCCCCGGCUAACUACGUGCCAGCAGCCGCGGUAAUACGUAGGGGGCAAGCGUUAUCCGGAUUUACUGGGUGUAAAGGGAGCGCAGGCGGUAUGGCAAGUCAGAUGUGAAAACCCAGGGCUCAACCCUGGGACUGCAUUUGAAACUGCCAUACUGGAGUGCCG